rnacentral:lncRNA from 1 species
AUGAGGCGUGAAGGGAGGGACGCGCGCGGCCACGCUCCCCGCAGGACGCGGCUCCGGACCCGGCGUCGGGGCUCCGCGGGACCCAGGUGUUCCCGAGGGGAAGAAACUGGCAGAAAGUGGACGCCUCCGCCCGCUGCCCCCCCCCCCCCACACACACACACAGGUAACGGCACCACAGCUGCCUUCCGCACACGCGGCUCCCGGCGCCAACGCCAACGCCUCCGCGCCCUCCGGGACCCUCCGACCCCGGCUCAAGCUCCUCCCCGCCCGCGGGCCCCGGCGGGAGCGGCGGCGGCGGCGGCGGGGAGCGGGGAGCGGGGAGCGGGCCGCGCUCGCUGCCAUUGGCUGUGCGGCCCGAGGGGCGGGGGCCCCGCAGUCCCGCCGGCUCCGCGGCCCCGGCUCCCGCCCGCCCUCCCGCAGCCGGUGCGCUCGAGCCCUGCGCUCCCCGGACGGCCGCGCGGGGGCGGGGCGCCGAGGCGGGGGCGGGGGCGGGGCGCGGCGGGGCGCGGGCGGGGCGCGGGCGGGGAGCUCAGCGCAGCUCCAGUCCGGGCCGGGCCGGCGCGCCGCGGGAGGGGAGGUCGCCGCGCGCGGGCUCGCAGGUCAGUGCAGGCUCCCGGCGCCGCCUCGAGCGGGGCGGGGCGUGGGGGCCGGGGCCGGGGCGGGGGCCGGGGCGCCGGGCCCUGGGGGCGGGCUCGCCCUCCGCGGGGAGCGCCCUGCCUCCUCUCCUGGGGCGGCCUCCGCUCCCUCCGAGCGCCCCCCCCGCGGCUCUCCGCGGCUCCCAGGGGUGUGGCUCCGUCCUGGGAGCCCCCUGAGUGCAUCCCCUCGGCGGCCAGCAGGCUCCGCGGGUCGGCGGUCGCGAUCCUCGGGAGGACCCGGCGGGGCUGCGCAGGGCCGCGGCCCCGGGACGACCCGCUCCUGUCCCGGACACAGCCGGGAGGAUCUGCCCUCGCGAGCGCUGCUGCAAGCAUUGAUUCCGCCGUCAAGUGUAGGCAGUUCCACACUUUGCGGAACGCGCUUCUAGGUGCAUCUGUUUGCUUUUGCCUUUGUGGUGUGUGCGGUCACCUCUGUUUGUUUUGCUUCUAUCCGGGUUUACAGGGUCGUCUGUCCCCUCCGGGCACUCCCCGCGUGCACUGCCGGCCUUGCACCUUCGCGCGCCCGCAGAGCCUUUGCACCCGUCUUAGGUGCUUCAAAUCCGGGCAGAAUGCUCUGAAGAGAUUGACACAUGUUCAUGGUUCUCAUUAAAGAAGCUUCAUGUAAGGAGUUGAUGCGGACUCAGAGAUAUGUGUGCAAACCUCAAGGGGCAGAAUUUCACACAAACCACUUGACAAGUCGGAGUGGACCUCUUCAAGGUGGAUAUCAGUUCAUUUCACUCUGCUGGACGCUUGAGGUAGAACUCAACUGAGGCAGCCUCACAGUGGGUGCUGAAUAUGGACUCUUGUGCUUCAUUUCUCUUACAAAACCGUGACACCAACCAAGCUAGCAGAAACUGGCAAAAUUAAGUCUGAUCUCCUUAGAAGAUAGUCUCCAUAUUUAAAAGAUAAAGUGGAAACACCAAAUUAAAAAAAAAAAAAAAAGGAGUCAAUUUAGAUUUAAUAUAUAAUAUUCCUAAAACCGGAGGCAAAAUAUGCUAAAUGUUUUAUUUUCAAUAUAAAAAAUGAAAAUCACAUUUAUUGAUGAAUUAAGUCAUGGAAAAGUUUUGGAAGAGUUUAACUUUUAAUAGCAAGGCAAAUAUGCGUUAUG